AGAGUUUGAUCAUGGCUCAGAUUGAACGCUGGCGGCAGGCUUAACACAUGCAAGUCGAGCGGGGGAAGGUAGCUUGCUACCGGACCUAGCGGCGGACGGGUGAGUAAUGCUUAGGAAUCUGCCUAUUAGUGGGGGACAACAUCUCGAAAGGGAUGCUAAUACCGCAUACGUCCUACGGGAGAAAGCAGGGGAUCUUCGGACCUUGCGCUAAUAGAUGAGCCUAAGUCGGAUUAGCUAGUUGGUGGGGUAAAGGCCUACCAAGGCGACGAUCUGUAGCGGGUCUGAGAGGAUGAUCCGCCACACUGGGACUGAGACACGGCCCAGACUCCUACGGGAGGCAGCAGUGGGGAAUAUUGGACAAUGGGGGGAACCCUGAUCCAGCCAUGCCGCGUGUGUGAAGAAGGCCUUAUGGUUGUAAAGCACUUUAAGCGAGGAGGAGGCUACUUUAGUUAAUACCUAGAGAUAGUGGACGUUACUCGCAGAAUAAGCACCGGCUAACUCUGUGCCAGCAGCCGCGGUAAUACAGAGGGUGCGAGCGUUAAUCGGAUUUACUGGGCGUAAAGCGUGCGUAGGCGGCUUAUUAAGUCGGAUGUGAAAUCCCCGAGCUUAACUUGGGAAUUGCAUUCGAUACUGGUGAGCUAGAGUAUGGGAGAGGAUGGUAGAAUUCCAGGUGUAGCGGUGAAAUGCGUAGAGAUCUGGAGGAAUACCGAUGGCGAAGGCAGCCAUCUGGCCUAAUACUGACGCUGAGGUACGAAAGCAUGGGGAGCAAACAGGAUUAGAUCCCCUGGUAGUCCAUGCCGUAAACGAUGUCUACUAGCCGUUGGGGCCUUUGAGGCUUUAGUGGCGCAGCUAACGCGAUAAGUAGACCGCCUGGGGAGUACGGUCGCAAGACUAAAACUCAAAUGAAUUGACGGGGGCCCGCACAAGCGGUGGAGCAUGUGGUUUAAUUCGAUGCAACGCGAAGAACCUUACCUGGCCUUGACAUACUAGAAACUUUCCAGAGAUGGAUUGGUGCCUUCGGGAAUCUAGAUACAGGUGCUGCAUGGCUGUCGUCAGAUCGUGUCGUGAGAUGUUGGGUUAAGUCCCGCAACGAGCGCAACCCUUUUCCUUACUUGCCAGCAUUUCGGAUGGGAACUUUAAGGAUACUGCCAGUGACAAACUGGAGGAAGGCGGGGACGACGUCAAGUCAUCAUGGCCCUUACGGCCAGGGCUACACACGUGCUACAAUGGUCGGUACAAAGGGUUGCUACACAGCGAUGUGAUGCUAAUCUCAAAAAGCCGAUCGUAGUCCGGAUUGGAGUCUGCAACUCGACUCCAUGAAGUCGGAAUCGCUAGUAAUCGCGGAUCAGAAUGCCGCGGUGAAUACGUUCCCGGGCCUUGUACACACCGCCCGUCACACCAUGGGAGUUUGUUGCACCAGAAGUAGCUAGCCUAACUGCAAAGAGGGCGGUUACCACGGUGUGGCCGAUGACUGGGGUGAAGUCGUAACAAGGUAGCCGUAGGGGAACCUGCGGCUGGAUCACCU
rnacentral:rRNA from 1 species